rnacentral:misc_RNA from 1 species
AAGUCGUAACAAGGUUUCCGUAGGUGAACCUGCGGAAGGAUCAUUACAUUCAGUAGCUUGCUACUGUUAGGGGGGUCUAUUAGUCUGUAUAGUAUCACUACUGAUGAGCAGCACGACCCUCUGUCUAUACCCUUGUCUUUUGCGCACUCAUGUUUCCUCGGCGGCUUUAUACCCGCCGGCUGGAUCAAUCUAUAACCUUUUUAAUUUUCAAUCAGCGUCUGAAAAACCUAAUAAUUACAACUUUCAACAACGGAUCUCUUGGUUCUG